UCUCCGUAGGUGAACCUGCGGAGGGAUCAUUACAGAGUUCUCGCCCUCACGGGUCGAUCUCCCACCCACUGUUAUCGUUACCGUCGUUUCUUUGGCGGGCCGCCGGGUCCCCGGCCGCCGGCGCCUAGCUGCCGGCGCGCGCCCGCCAGAGGCCUUCAAACUCCGAAUGUUAGUGUCGUCUGAGUACUAUAUAAUAGUUAAAACUUUCAACAACGGAUCUCUUGGUUCUG
rnacentral:misc_RNA from 1 species